rnacentral:rRNA from 1 species
GCUAAUACCGCAUACGUCCUACGGGNGAAAGCGGGGGAUCUUCGGACCUCGCGCCAUUUAGAUGAGCCUAGGUCGAUUAGCUAGUUGGUGAGGUAAUGGCUCACCAAGGCGACGAUCCGUAACUGGUCUGAGAGGAUGAUCAGUCACACUGGAACUGAGACACGGUCCAGACUCCUACGGGAGGCAGCAGUGGGGAAUAUUGGACAAUGGGCGAAAGCCUGAUCCAGCCAUGCCGCGUGUGUGAAGAAGGUCCUCGGAUUGUAAAGCACUUUAAGUUGGGAGGAAGGGUAGUAACCUAAUACGUUGCUACUUUGACGUUACCGACAGAAUAAGCACCGGCUAACUUCGUG